UGGGGUAUAGCUCAGUGGUAGAGCUCGUGCUUAGAAUGCACGAGGUCCUGGGUUCAAUCCCCAGUACCUCGCCCCAA